rnacentral:rRNA from 1 species
AUGCUCUCCCCAGUUGUAGGGCUACUUGUGAAGGGGAUAUGGGAGCCCGUUAAGAAGCACAGUGGUGACUGCCUCAAGCCUGGAAGAAAAGUUUGUGAUUUGAAAACUUCUACGGACGGUUUAAGAGUCCACGUAGACAUUAUUGCUGAGCAGAUACAACUGGGCAAAAGACCGAGGGUUCAAACAACAAGAUGGAUAGAAAGUGCCCAAUCAACUGAAGAAAAAUCACGUGCAAUCAUAAAUAAGUUUGAGGGAAGGAGCAAACAUAUGUUGGGUUGCUCUUGGAAUUGUUGGCUCAAAUACAGGAUUGGCCGUGCUGCCAGAAAGAGAAAGAAAGAAGUUGACAAGCUGAAGGAGAGAACUCCCCAGAAUGAUGGUAUCUUCACUUUGCUACCACCAGUUGGCAUAGAACUGCCUCUGCCACCUAAUAUUGUGGGGCAGAACGAGUAUAUGGGCAAGAUUGUUGGUUGCAUUGAGCAAGGUUCCACAUGCAUGGUUGGGAUAUGUGGCAUGGGAGGGGCUGGAAAAACUACUCUUCUUAAGCAAUUAAACAACACCUUCAGUUGCACUGCGGAAAUGCACACAUUUGAUCAUGUGAUCUAUGUGGAAAUUGGUCAGCAACAAAAUCUGGGUACAGUUCAGAAGAGCAUUGCAUCACAGCUUGGCCUGACGCUUGGACAGGAGGAGAACACCACAUCCAGAUCUGCAUCCCUCUACAGGUUCUUGAAGGAAAGGAAGUUUUUAUUAUUGAUGGAGAAGGUUGGGAUACCACAAAAAUACUUGCAAAAUAGACAGAUGAUUGUAAUCACAGCACGUGAUCAACAGAUAUGUCGAAGAAUGCAAGCACACAGUGAGGUGUUUCUGUUACAAAAACUCAUGUUUGAAGAAGCGUGGAGUCUCUUUGAAGCGAAUGCGGGCUGCAAUGGACUAACCAAUACCAAUGCACAGAUCAGAGGUUAUGCUGAGAACAUUGUUCGCAAGUGUGGAGGCCUUCCACUAGCUCUUAAGAUAGUUGGUCAGGCUAUGGCAUCAAAAGAAAGUGAACAAGAUUGGGAACUCGCUGUGAGGUUGCUUCAACGGUCUCAGUUCCAUGAAGUUCCAGAUGCAUAUGCAGAAAGUGACCUAUAUCAUGUACUGUACAUCAGUUAUGACCAACUUCCAGACGCAAGGACAAAGCAGUGUUUCCUUUACUUUGCCUUGAGAUUACCGGAUUAUGUAAAUGUGCGAUUUGCAAUAGAACUCUGGAUGGGACAUGGAUUACUAGAUGAAGAUAAUGAUCUGAGGGCCAACGAUUUGAGAGGUCGUGCUGUUCUUGGCUGUCUAAAAAGAGCUUGUCUGUUAGAAGAACAUGCAAGAGGGCAAAACUAUGCAAGCAUGCACGAUACGAUCAAAGGUCUAGCUCUUUGGAUUGUACAUAGUAAACAAGGAGAUGGACCUAGAAAGAACUGGUUAGUACGUAAAGGAGAUGAAACCAUGAAAUCAGAAGAGUGGUGCACUGCCCAUAGGAUUUCCCUCUAUAACUUGAAUGAUGUGGUAAUCCCUGGUUCUGUGCCUUGCCGUUGGCUAUUAACUCUCUUACUCAGAAGAAGCAACAUUAUUGGCAAUGUUCCUACAGGCUUCUUUCGAAGUGCUCCAUCUCUCACAUUCUUGGAUAUAAGUCGCACUAAUAUCCGGGAACUCCCAUUGGAUGUUGGAGAAUUAGUGAACUUGCAGCACCUUGAUCUUUCAGACACCCUAAUCCAAUCGAUCCCAAGGGAGCUUCAACAAUUGAAAAGUUUGAGAUACCUAUAUCUAAAAAACACUAGGCUGGUAACAAUCCCAGAUGGGACCAUAUCUGGUCUAACAAUGUUGAGAGUCCUUGAUUUAUUCUGUAGUGGUCUUUUCCCAGUGGACACAACACAUGCACUCAUUAAGGAGUUGGAGAGUUUGGCAUGGCUACAAUCUCUGGGCUUCACAGUUAGCGAUCCUAAUUCGCUCCAAAGGAUACUCAACCCUUCUAAUAAAGCCUCCUUGAAAUCCCUUUAUUUUACCAAAGUGGAAGGCUUGCCACAUCUCCAUAUUGCACCAGCAGUUUUUAGCAGAACGAGGGUACAUGAACUCGAGAGGUUGACAUUGUACGGUAUGGAAAGUUUGAAGGAGUUAUCAAUAGGACCUGAGAGAGUUGGAAGUUAUCGUAUGGGAAGGGGUGGUGCCUCAUGCUUGCUUUCCCUUCGUCUGCUACUGAUAUGUGAUUGCCACAGUAUCAAGACACUCUCAUGGAUCAAGCAGCUCCCAUGCCUGGAAGAGGUAUAUUUGGUUGACUGCGAGUCAAUGUUGGAGUUGGUGGCUGACGCUGACGAAGGAGGAACCAUGUCAUCAGCUGCAGUUUCGUUUCCCCGGCUCAAGGUACUUGGACUAAGUCGUCUUAGGAACCUGCACAACACAUGUGAUGGCAUUCUUGCAUUUCGUUGUUUGCAGCGCUUGCUUGUGUACAAUUGUCCUAUGGUGACCAAAUUGCCAUCCGGGUUACACAAGGAAGAGCGUGUGCCGGUGAUACUGGGCCGACAAGACUGGUGGCAACGAUUAGAUUGGGAGGAUAGUAGCAUGGAAUCUACAUUGAACUCAUUCUUCCGGGAACUGCCAUUAAGUUUUCAAGGAGAUGUUGGAGAUGUUUACAGGGCACUAGCUCGCUAUUAA